AGACUCUCAAACACAAACCACUUGCUUAAUCCCCAUCAAACUAUUUUAAACCUACCUUCCUGGCUCCUAAAUCAUACCAAAUCUAUAAUUAUCCAUCCUAAGAAUUUUCUUUUUGUGUGUGUGUGUGUGUUUGUGUUUGUGUGUGUG